rnacentral:lncRNA from 1 species
UUUUACUGACAAUUACAGGAUAUCCAAAGCUUCAAAAUCUACUUAUAGAUGGUGACUGGUGUUCUGGGGAUCAACUGAGGGUGCAAGAGAUAAGUCAAGAGACCCAGUGGACACAUAGCCACACUCUGUCCCAGAGCCUAAGAUUUCAGUGCCAAACCUAGUGACCACUAUACCCACGGACAAUAAGACUGGGUUGGGGCCUGGCUGUAAGACCCAGCCAUGCAAACCUGCUGCCUGGAUCUGAGAACCAACUCCAAGCAUCUGCCUUCAAUGCUGAUGACCUGAUUGUUUUUCUCUCUGUUCUGCAAAAACGUUCUAUGCUUUCCCACCAUGGUGUCCAGGUGUUCCCCAUUUCCUGCAGAUGAUGUUCUGCCUCCAACUUUCUGCAUAUGUCACUUUCCCCUUUUUCAAGGCCUGGUUCCAGUGCCCCCUGCUUGGGCAGCACAUCACCUAUUGUCUCAGCUCUCCGCAUUGGCUCUCUCGUCAAAACAGC